rnacentral:rRNA from 1 species
AUCGGUGGAGCCGUCCUUGAAAUACCACCCUUGUAGUGUUGAUGUUCUAACUUAGACCCGUUAUCCGGGUUGAGGACAGUGCCUGGUGGGUAGUUUGACUGGGGCGGUCUCCUCCCAAAGAGUAACGGAGGAGCACGAAGGUGGGCUAAUCACGGUUGGACAUCGUGAGGUUAGUGCAAUGGCAUAAGCCCGCUUGACUGCGAGAAUGACAAUUCGAGCAGGUGCGAAAGCAGGUCAUAGUGAUCCGGUGGUUCUGUAUGGAAGGGCCAUCGCUCAACGGAUAAAAGGUACUCCGGGGAUAACAGGCUGAUACCGCCCAAGAGUUCAUAUCGACGGCGGUGUUUGGCACCUCGAUGUCGGCUCAUCACAUCCUGGGGCUGAAGUCGGUCCCAAGGGUAUGGCUGUUCGCCAUUUAAAGUGGUACGCGAGCUGGGUUUAGAACGUCGUGAGACAGUUCGGUCCCUAUCUGCCGUGGGCGUUGGAAGAUUGAAGGGGGCUGCUCCUAGUACGAGAGGACCGGAGUGGACGAACCUCUGGUGUUCGGGUUGUCAUGCCAAUGGCAUUGCCCGGUAGCUAAGUUCGGAAUCGAUAACCGCUGAAAGCAUCUAAGCGGGAAGCGAGCCCUGAGAUGAGUCUUCCCUGACCCCUUGAGGGUCCUAAAGGGUUGUUCGAGACUAGAACGUUGAUAGGCAGGGUGUGUAAGCGUUGUGAGGCGUUGAGCUAACCUGUACUAAUUGCCCGUGAGGCUUAACCAU